rnacentral:rRNA from 1 species
GAUGAUCAGCCACACUGGGACUGAGACACGGCCCAGACUCCUACGGGAGGCAGCAGUGGGGAAUUUUGCGCAAUGGGGGAAACCCUGACGCAGCAACGCCGCGUGAGUGAAGAAGGCCUUUGGGUCGUAAAGCUCUGUCAACUGGGAAGAAAUUACAAUUAUCCAAUAGGUGAUUGUAUUGACGGUACCAGUGGAGGAAGCGCCGGCUAACUCCGUGCCAGCAGCCGCGGUAACACGGGGGGCGCAAGCGUUAUUCGGGAAUUAUUGGGGCGUAAAGGGCGCGUAGGCGGUCUUGUCGGUCAGAUGUGAAAGCCCAGGGCUCACCCCUGGACGUGCAUUUGAAACAGCAAGACUUGAGUACGGGAGAGGAAAGCGGAAUUCCUGGGUGUAGAGGUGAAAUUCGUAGAUAUCAGGAGGAACACCGAUGGCGAAGGCAGCUUUCUGGACCGAU